GAUGAACGCUGACAGAAUGCUUAACACAUGCAAGUCAACGUGGAGGCGGACGGGUGAGUAACGCGUAAAGAACUUGCCUCACAGCUAGGGACAACAUUUGGAAACGAAUGCUAAUACCUGACACUGUGAGAGAGCUUUGCGUCCCAUUGGCUAGUUGGAGAGGUAACGGUUCACCAAGGCGAGGAUGGGUAGCCGGCCUGAGAGGGUGAUCGGCCACAAGGGGACUGAGACACGGCCCUUACUCAGACGGGAGGCAGCAGUGGGGAAGAUUGCACAGUGGGAGCAUCCUGAUGCAGCCAUGCCGCGUGUUUGAAGAAGGACUUAGGGUUGUAAAGCACUUUCAGCGGGGAGGCGUUACCCGCAGAAGAAGCACCGGCUAACUCCGUGCCAGCAGCCGCGGUAAUAC
rnacentral:rRNA from 1 species